rnacentral:rRNA from 1 species
UCGAGAAUCUUCCGCAAUGGGCGAAAGCCUGACGGAGCGACACCGCGUGCAGGACGAAGGCCCUCGGGUUGUAAACUGCUGUCACGCUCUAGGAAUGCCAUGUCGUUAAUAGCGGCAUGGUUGACCAAGGCGAAAGGAAGUGGCGGCUAACUCUGUGCCAGCAGCCGCGGUAAGACAGAGGCCACGAACGUUGUUCGGAAUCACUGGGCAUAAAGCGCACGUAGGCGGCUAGGUCCGUCCAAUGUGAAAGCCCCCGGCUCAACCGGGGAAUUGCAUCGGAUACAGCCUGGCUUGAGGACGGUUGGGGUGAGUGGAACUCCUGGUGGAGCGGUGAAAUGCGUAGAUAUCAGGAGGAACACCGGUGGCGAAAGCGGCUCACUGGACCGUAACUGACGCUGAGGUGCGAAAGCUAGGGGAGCAAACGGGAUUAGAUACCCGGGUAGUCCCUGAGCGGGCUGGCAAGGCGCAU